rnacentral:ncRNA from 1 species
AUAAAGUUUUAUUUUAGCUUAAAAAUUUAUUUUUAGUUUGAUUUAUAUGUAAAUUUUUGUGGGUGAUUUUAUUUAUUUAAAUAAUAUUUAAAUUUUAUUUAAUUCGCAGUAAUUGAUUUUAUUAAUUAAAGAAAUUUAGAUAUAGUAAUAUUAUGUUGUAUUGACUUAAUUUGUGCCAGCAGUCGCGGUUAUACGAAUGAAUGCAAAUAAAUUUUAUUGGUUAAAGUUAAAUAGAUUUGUUUAAUUAAUUAAUUAUAGAUUUGUUAGGUGAAAUUUUAAUUUUAUAGAAGUUUAUGUUAAUAAUAAUUGAAGCUUGAAAAUUUGAUUAUUAAACUAGGAUUAGAUACCCUAUUAUUAGAAAUGUAAAUAUUAAACUGAGGUAGUAGUAGUUAUGUUCUUGAAACUUAAAAAAUUUGGCGGUAUUUUAAGUCUAUUCAGAGGAACCUGUUCUGUAAUCGAUGCUCCACGAUGGACCUUACUUAAAUUUGUUAUUCAAUUUAUAUACCGUUGUUAUUAGAAUAUUUUAUGAGGAGGUUAAUUUUCAUAAUUUUUAAAUGAAAAAAUAUCAGAUCAAGGUGUAAUUGAUGUUUAAGAAGUAAUGGGUUACAAUAAAUUUAUUUAAGAUGGAUGUAAAUUUGAAAUAGUUUAUUGAAGGCGGAUUUGUUAGUAAAAUUAUAAAGAUUAAUAAUUUGAUUUUAGCUCUAAAAUAUGCACACAUCGCCCGUCACUCUUAUUUAUAAAGUAAGAUAAGUCGUAACAUAGUAGAUGUACUGGAAAGUGUAUCUAGAAUGC